AAAUUCCGCAAUGGCCGCCGGGAAACGUAGUCCGUUUGAUUUCUGCCUCCCGGGUGGAAAGACUAAGAAGAGGUUUUCUGGGCUUUGCUUCUUGGAGGGCAGGAUUUGAACGACUGUGGGUCUACACCCGGGGAGCCCUUCUCUCAAUGACUCCUGGAAGGUGCCCAGGAGCUGGAGCAUGUAGUUCCACAGUGCCCCGCUCCAGUUCUCCAUCUACUACUACUUUCUCCUGAACUUCCGCGCCUUGGUUUCCCUAUCUGCAGAAUAGAUACUUCAAAAGCCAAAAAUCCCAGCUGAGGAACAAGAGGUGAUCCCGUCAGAGCCAGAGAGAGCUCCCAUAAGGCCCUUCUUCAUUUCAUAGUUCACAAAGAGAGUGACAACCGCAGCGUCCUCCUUGCCUCUCCCCUCAGAGCCCAGAAACGUGAAAAGCAGCAGAAAACCUUUUCUUCUGCCGAGGUCUUAGGAAAAGGAAAAAUCAACUCCUCUGCUGGUGAUGAUCACAAGCCCUGGGCUCAGCCACACUACCUCAUUUUAAUUAGAAGACCAACACAGGUAAAUGAUCUCUGUUGUAUGGAAGUAGCUCCCUUCACUAGGAAUGUCUCCUGAAUACUUUUUUCAAAUGACAUUUCAUCUUGUGUUGCUGUGGUCAUGUUUUAUUCUCCUUAAUUUGUGAUUACAAUCCUUUAUACUGAUAGAUUUUGUGACUUUCAGCCAUCUCUGGCAUAUAUAUCCUUGUCAGCCAUUGUAUGUUGUUCUUUAAAACACUGCUCAUUCCAUGAGUGAGUAUUUUAUUUAGAAUGUUUGCAUCCACAUUCAAAAGCCAGAAUGCACUGUAAUUUUUUGUUGCACUUAUCAGGUUUUGGAGGUAAUGACCUAGUCUUUCAAAGUUAGAUGCAACUUGA